AGCUUGCUCCUCUGACGUUAGCGGCGGACGGGUGAGUAACACGUGGAUAACCUACCUAUAAGACUGGGAUAACUUCGGGAAACCGGAGCUAAUACCGGAUAACAUGUUGAACCGCAUGGUUCAACAGUGAAAGACGGUCUUGCUGUCACUUAUAGAUGGAUCCGCGCCGCAUUAGCUAGUUGGUAAGGUAACGGCUUACCAAGGCAACGAUGCGUAGCCGACCUGAGAGGGUGAUCGGCCACACUGGAACUGAGACACGGUCCAGACUCCUACGGGAGGCAGCAGUAGGGAAUCUUCCGCAAUGGGCGAAAGCCUGACGGAGCAACGCCGCGUGAGUGAAGAAGGUCUUCGGAUCGUAAAACUCUGUUAUUAGGGAAGAACAAAUGUGUAAGUAACUAUGCACGUCUUGACGGUACCUAAUCAGAAAGCCACGGCUAACUACGUGCCAGCAGCCGCGGUAAUACGUAGGUGGCAAGCGUUAUCCGGAAUUAUUGGGCGUAAAGCGCGCGUAGGCGGUUUUUUAAGUCUGAUGUGAAAGCCCACGGCUCAACCGUGGAGGGUCAUUGGAAACUGGAAAACUUGAGUGCAGAAGAGGAAAGUGGAAUUCCAUGUGUAGCGGUGAAAUGCGCAGAGAUAUGGAGGAACACCAGUGGCGAAGGCGACUUUCUGGUCUGUAACUGACGCUGAUGUGCGAAAGCGUGGGGAUCAAACAGGAUUAGAUACCCUGGUAGUCCGCGCCGUAAACGAUGAGUGCUAAGUGU
rnacentral:rRNA from 1 species